CGUAGCCCUUGUGAACAGAACAGCCCACCACGCGGCCGUACUUGGAGAAAAUGGUCUCCACAUCUGACUUCUUGACCACAGCUGUGUUGAGAUUGCCGAUGAAGACUCUGGAGUUGAUGGACUUGGGGUCAUUCUUGUUCGUUAUGUUGCUUGUCUGCACCUUCAAUGACAUCUUGAACACCGGGAAUGGUGUGGACGCUUGGGUUUGUUAGUCCUUCCUGUCUCUGGUCUGGGAGCAGGUGCAGCACCCCUCCACCGUCUCACCUUCGUCGUGCAGCAAAACCCCCGUCUCCAGCGGGACGCCCGGCAGGACGCGCAGCAGCACUGCCCGCG
rnacentral:lncRNA from 1 species